AGGGCCGUUGAAGACCACGACGUUGAUAGGCUGGGUGUGGAAGUGCAGUAAUGCAUUAAGCUAACCAGUACUAAUUGCCCGUGCGGCUUGGCUCU
rfam:Limnobacter sp. MED105 1103186003313, whole genome shotgun sequence.